rnacentral:tmRNA from 1 species
GGGGGUGUCAUGGUUUCGACAGGUUGUCUGUUGGAUUCAAUCUGCAGUGGAGUGGCGACCUAAUUGCCAAAAAACUUUAAACGGAAACAAAUUAAGUUUCGCUGCUUAGUCUCCUAGCGGAGCGCAGCUGUCUCUAGUAACCCUGCCCAUUGGGUUUAUAGACGGCACAAAAAAGAUGGGAUCGUUAAGCCAGUCGUUCUUACAAAGCUUAGCUAAACACCAGUAGAACAAAUCAUUGGGAGCCUGUCUGACGCAAACCCAGUGAUUAACACCUCAGACUAAACUGUAGACGGUUGAAUGUG